UGUUAAAAUUUUCAUCUAUUUGUAAUGUUAAAAACUGGUGUGACUAACGGAAUAACCAAAUCAUAACAUGUGACGUGCCAUUGUACCUCAAACUUAUGUAUAUGAAUCAAUUUUUAAUAAUAGAAAAAGAUUAAAAAUUUAAUA
rfam:Gossypium hirsutum cultivar TM-1 unplaced genomic scaffold scaffold56.1, whole genome shotgun sequence